CCCUUUUGUGAACAUACCUAUCGUUGCUUCGGCGGACUCGCCCCAGCGUCCGGCCGGCCCCGCGCCGGCCGCGGCCUGGAUCCAGGCGGCCGCCGGAGACCCCCAAACUCUGUAUUCUCAGUAUCUUCUGAAUCCGCCGCAAGGCAAAACAAAUGAAUCAAAACUUUCAACAACGGAUCUCUUGGUUCUGGCAUCGAUGAAGAACGCAGCGAAAUGCGAUAAGUAAUGUGAAUUGCAGAAUUCAGUGAAUCAUCGAAUCUUUGAACGCACAUUGCGCCCGCCAGCAUUCUGGCGGGCAUGCCUGUUCGAGCGUCAUUUCAACCCUCGACUUCCCUUUGGGGAAAUCGGCGUUGGGGACCGGCCGUAUACCGCCGGCCCCGAAAUGAAGUGGCGGCCCGUCCGCGGCGACCUCUGCGUAGUAAUCCAACUCGCACCGGAACCCCGACGUGGCCACGCCGUAAAACCCCCGACUUCUGAACGU
rnacentral:rRNA from 1 species